AAGCAAAGUUUACACCAAGUAGGGGAGCAGGUGCCUUAAAGUCUGGCUUCGCCCCCAAAAGGGGCUCUGUUCUGCCGAAUCCGGUGCCAUGGGGAUGAACUUGGCAGUAGGUCUCCUGGGACAUGUGGCCCUUGAACUAGACAGGAGAACCUCAGUGAUGGCCCUGGGAAACAAAGCCCGUUCCUAGUCCCAUGUACAGGUGCUGCAGCACCAGGAGCUGAGACAGAUUUAACACCCUUGCCAGGUGGGAUCCUCGGUGGCUAAAGAACAGAAUCCUACCUGUAUUUAAUCAUCUUCCAUCCUCUCAGCCUUACCAGAUGGGCUCGACCUGCAGCUGGGGUGGGCAAACCCCUCCCAGAGCGCAUUCAUGGGCAGUAAUGCACUGAAAUGACGCCUCAUAAACAAGCUUCGUGUAUUACUCAGAGUGUAAAGGACACUGGACGUGGCAACAGCUCACCUCCACCUCUGCCAGGUCCCACCAAGGAGAAAGUGCUUAUCCACGGUGACGUCGACAGGGGCUCGACCUGCCGCUGGGGUGGGCAUUCAUGGGCAGGGCUUGAAUUCCAGCGGCGGUUUCCCCAUGUGCCUUGGAGGGGUAACUGUCAUACAUGCUCGAUGGCUAUUCAGAUGUGGGGGGAAUUCAUUCCUCAUCCAUAGGUCUAGCAUAAGGUCUAUGCACCUCUAAAGUGGUGCAUGGACCUUGUGAGAUUAUAGCAGUGUCUAGGCCCUGUAUUGACUCUCUGCCAAGAGAGUGACUGUCACCCAACGUGUGCUGAGCACUGUGGAUGGUAUCCGUUGGCUAGAAGAGGAGGUGGAGCGUCUGGGCACAGAGGAAUUUGGGAACUGGGUAGGUGUGGCGAGAGAAGGAGACAGUGGCGGUCAGCAUGAGCCCCUUUGUGGAGGGAACAGAUCCAUGGCAGCGGGGAGUUACAAGAAGCCAGGUACUAUCUGAGAAGAACAGUGUUCAGGACAGCAAAGGGAGGUGAAGAAAUAAAAAGGGAUGAUGGAAAAGAAGAAACCAACAGAAGGACCAAGGACAACAGAGCAGAGAGAGUGAACAAAACUCCCUGGAAUGACAAGGGCAGCUCCUGGCGAUUCUCUAACUUAAGGUGACUGUUUUCAGAAUCAAAACCCAGGGCAGCCUGGGGGCAACAAGUCAACAAUGAGACUCUACUGGUUAGCAUGAUCGGCACUGGUCUCCCCACAGCAAGAGGUGAUGGCCUGGCUCUUGAUCCCAGGCCUGGGAGUCCCUAGACAGCUGCUACAUCCUGGCUAGUGAAACCAGGGGACUGGGAAGCUGUCCGAGCCAAGACCCCACUCAUGGGGGCUCUGAUUGGAGGUUCGCCUGGCUCCACCGAUUCGAUUUAAGCCAGGAGGAGAAUGGAACAGGAAGUUUAUCUGAGCAACAAGGUGGUUUCCUGUUGUGGUGGCGUUGGACCCUGCUUGCGCCUGCCUCCUGCGCCCAGUCCUGUUCCUGCUCGGCUGCUGCCCUACUCCCGCCUUUGCUUCUGUUCUGCACUUGAUCCUUACCUUUCCUCCUGCCUUUAUCCUCACCUCCAAUCCUGGCUCCUACCCGGCCUCUGACCUUGACUCAGGCUUGACCCUUGGCUCCUGCUGUUUGGCAUCUGGCCUCGACUUUGACCCUCAGCUGCGAUGCCUGGUUCUGACUGUUGAUUCUGGAGCUGACCCUUG